rnacentral:rRNA from 1 species
GUUGUAUGGUUAAGUGACUAAGCGUACACGGUGGAUGCCUUGGCAGUCAGAGGCGAUGAAAGACGUAGUAACUUGCGAUAAGCCCAGAUUAGGUAGGAGGCGAACCGGGGGAACUGAAACAUCUAAGUACCCCGAGGAAAAGAAAUCAACCGAGAUUCCGAAAGUAGCGGCGAGCGAAAUUGGACUAGCCCUUAAGCUUUACACGCGUUAGACGAACGGUCUGGAAAGUCCGACGAUACAGGGUGAUAGUCCCGUAGUUGACGACGUGUGUUCAGUGAAAUCGAGUAGGGCGGGACACGUGAUAUCCUGUCUGAAUAUGGGGGGACCAUCCUCCAAGGCUAAAUACUACUGACUGACCGAUAGUGAACCAGUACCGUGAGGGAAAGGCGAAAAGAACCCUUGUCCUGUGACUGCGUACCUUUUGUAUAAUGGGUCAGCGACUUAUAUUCAGUGGCAAGGUUAACCAUCUAGGGGAGCCGUAGGGAAACCGAGUCUUAACUGGGCGUUCAGUCUCUGGAUAUAGACCCGAAACCAGGUGAUCUAGCCAUGGGCAGGUUGAAGGUUGAGUAACAUCAACUGGAGGACCGAACCGACUAAUGUUGAAAAAUUAGCGGAUGACUUGUGGCUAGGGGUGAAAGGCCAAUCAAACCUGGAGAUAGCUGGUUCUCCCCGAAAGCUAUUUAGGUAGCGCCUCGGACGAAUACUACUGGGGGUAGAGCACUGUUAAGGCUAGGGGGUCAUCCCGACUUACCAACCCUUUGCAAACUCCGAAUACCAGUAAGUACUAUCCGGGAGACACACGGCGGGUGCUAACGUCCGUCGUGGAGAGGGAAACAACCCAGACCGCCAGCUAAGGUCCCAAAUUACUACUAAGUGGGAAACGAUGUGGGAAGGCUCAGACAGCCAGGAUGUUGGCUUAGAAGCAGCCAUCAUUUAAAGAAAGCGUAAUAGCUCACUG